GCGUCCGGUAGCAGGUGCGGCACCCCGCUGGGAACGGGGACCGACGACGAUCCUCCCGUUGCGGGCGGAC
rnacentral:tRNA from 1 species